rnacentral:rRNA from 1 species
UACGUAGGGUCCGAGCGUUGUCCGGAAUCACUGGGCGUAAAGGGCGCGUAGGCGGCCUGAUAAGUAGGGGGUGAAAUCUUGCGGCUUAACCGCAAGGCUGCCUUCUAAACUGUCAGGCUAGAGCACAGUAGAGGCAGGUGGAAUUCCCGGUGUAGCGGUGGAAUGCGUAGAGAUCGGGAAGAACAUCAGUGGCGAAGGCGGCCUGCUGGGCUGUUGCUGACGCUGAGGCGCGACAGCGUGGGGAGCAAACAGG